rnacentral:rRNA from 1 species
UACGUAGGGGGCAAGCGUUGUCCGGAUUUAUUGGGCGUAAAGAGCGUGUAGGCGGCCAGACAGGUCCACUGUGAAAACUCGAGGCUCAACCUCGAGAGGUCGGUGGAAACCGUCUGGCUAGAGUCCGGAAGAGGAGAGUGGAAUUCCCGGUGUAGCGGUGAAAUGCGCAGAUAUCGGGAAGAACACCCGUGGCGAAGGCGGCUCUCUGGGACGGUACUGACGCUGAGACGCGGAAAGCGUGGGGAGCGAACAGG